GGUGACAGCGACAGCCGUGACAAUAUGAAGUUUGUCCGUCUGAAUAUACAGAUUGGAAGUCUGAAUAUAUUGAAUGAAAUCGGACAUCAUUAAGGCACUGGCGUAUGGAGGGAUUAUUUGGUCAGAACUAAAACUGAAAGUCGAAGUCGAAAAUGAAUUUGGUAUUUAGGAUAGGGCAUUUUGUCGUUUAGCCAUUUAGGAUUUGGGUAUUUAGGAUUGGGGAUUUGGGUAUUUGGGGAUUGAGGAUUGAGUCGUGUAUGCAAAUGAGGAGGCGUGGCCCAAAGGCUGCAGGGAGGGUUUGGAAGAGCUGAGGCACUUUAUAUGGCCUCUCGAGAAAGCAGCAGACAGUACAGCAGACAAAGAUGUUUCACCUGGACAUGAAGGACUACUUGGUGUCACAGCUUUGGAUCAGCCAUCUGCAGCAGAGUCCCAGUCCACUGGGUCACACCAUAAGUUGGAAAUUACAGCUACAGCUGAUUGAGUAACCUCUGGAUCCACUCAGGACUUCUUCUCUCACUUAGACAUAAUUUACUCUUCAUUGAAGGCUUGUAUUUUAUCUUGCAAAGUUUCUAUGUGAUCUAUAAUUACCAUGUUUUAUUUUGCUCAUUAUAUUAUGCAAUAAAUAGCACAGAGUUGCAGUCUGACGGGA